CAGCAGCAGCGACUUGCAGGGCCCACGAUCGCCUAAUUGAUGGAGCUGUGCUUGGUGCGGCCCACGCGGCCUCUGCUGCCCUAGCGAAACAAGCGCCAGGCUAGGGACCCUCUGCAGCCUAGAUGGAACAGUGGGGCCCAGGAAGAAGCCGGACCUGCCAUGGAUCACUGACCAGUGACUAGAUCACGUUUUUUGGCUGCAACAUUGCCUUCAUCUUGCAGCUUCCCUGGUCCUGAGCAACUCUGGAAGCCUAAGAGCCUAUGGAAGGUUCAGCAAAGAACAACAGAGUGCCUGGAAUAUAAAAGCCAUUCUUUAGGUCUCUGCCAGUGGGAGAGGCCAAGAGGGUUGGCCAGAGAGUUCCAGAAGGACACUGACCAGAGAGACCACCUGCCCAGACUGACAUUCCAGCCUUCAGCUAGGGCUGAGUCCAUGAUGCCAAGGAAGUCCCUGUGUCCUCUCUCAAGUGCUCCUGAAAGCUCAGUGGACACAAGAGGCAGGUGCUGCUGUCCCCCAAGGUAGCAGAGCCAAUGGACAGGGAGCCUGGGGACAGCUAACAGGUUUAUUUUAAACCUUUUCUUGGUACUAUUUUCAUUGUAAACCAUGUUACAGUAUCACCCACUCAGAAAAUAAAAUAUAAACAUGAAAGAACUUUAAAACAACACAAUUGCAUCAGGUCUGUGUGCAGAUGCUUGGCCAAACAGCCAUUUGAAAACAACAAAUUGAUUUUUAAAAGCACUCAUUAGGAAACAUUUGGAAGAUAUAGAAAAGGAGACUAUAUGUGUAUAGAUAGUUUCUUAUUUAUUUUACUUAACGUCCCGCCACAUAAAGAUAAA